CCCCCGCUGUCCAGGGCAGGGACUGUGCCCAUGGGAGGGACCCCCGCUGGCCAGGGCAGGGACUGAGCCCAUGGGAGGGACCCCGCGCCGGAGCAGGGAAGGAUUCCUGUCCCCGAGGGGGAAGCAGCGGCACGAACUGACCGCGACUUCCAUCCCUUCUCCCUGCCCCGCUGGGCACAGCAGGGAGGAGCCGGGGAUAAAGUGAACUCCGUGAAGGAGAAAGAGGUCGCGGGAAGGUUCUUUUCCAGGGUUUAUUUUAUUCCUCACUCUCCUGUUCUGAUCCGCUCCGUCCCAAAUCCAGUUCAUCUCCCCGCGUCGGGGCUCUUGUGGCCGCGAUGGCGAUCCCUGAGUGAGCUCUCCCUGCCCUUACCCCGAGCCACGAGGACUCGGAUCUGUUCCAGUUCCGUGCAAUUCACGGGCAUUUGGGGCAGCUGGAGCGAAGCAGCUGGAAAGCACAGCGGGCUCGAGAGGGACUCAAGCAGGGCAGGAGCCGGGGCUGCCCCGAGGGAGCUCUCCCAGCACGAACCUUCCCGGGCUCUUUCUACGGGAAUUGCGGGGAAUGUCUCCAUUCAUCGCUACAAAGCAGAGUCACAAGUGGAGCUGAGCUUUCAGCUUGAAAGGAGGGAAUCGAACGUGUGCGCGGGGACUGCUGGAACCUCGAGGUGUCACUUGGGCCUGGAUGUUUUUCCCUGCUCCUUGCAGAAGUGCCCCAGUCACCACCCAUCUGCUGUAGGCUGCUGUCUCUUUCUUCUGAAGAUGCUCCCCUGCCUCUGAAGGAGUUCCAGCCUGUCACAGGUAAUCUUUUCCCCUGAUGCAUCUGUUUAGCAAGCAGGAAAGGUAAUGCCAAACAAUAAUGAAGUGGUGUGAGACCUCCCUGAAGAAACUCUCACCCCAGCAGAAAGAUGUUUUACAAUUUAUGCCCAAAGCAUUUAUUUCUGUGUGCAGUGGAGAGUUGUGUGUGAUCUAUUCCUCUCCAUGCUUUCUCUGUCCCUCCUAGCACUGUUUCUGGUGAGUGGGGCCUCUCUUACAGUUGCUGAAUGCAAUGCAAAAAUACAAAUCUGACAAUUCCAGAUCAUCCUUUUGUGGCCGCUGUUUUGUGUCUCAGUCUUUCACCCUCUCAGCCCACUCAAUUUGAACCUGCUGAGGGAAACUCAGUGAUAGCACCUGCACACAGAAAAGCUUCAGCUGCUGAGGUAAUCUGCUAGAAAGCAAAAUGUGUACAAAUACUUUCAUUUUGAAAAUGUUUGGUGUUGGGGAGGAUUAAAGUUUGGUAAGAAAGUUUCACAGGUAUGUAGGCUUGGCAGAAAGAUCUGUGAAUGUAGAAACUGGGGAUGAGGUAGAAAAGGAAGCAAGUUUUGGUAUGGAGUAAAAGAUGUUUUGCUGAAACAGUGA
rnacentral:lncRNA from 1 species